CCCUGUUGUUGAAGGAAUUCUUCCUCGAGCCCCCUUUAACACGACGGUGAUUCUCGUCGGCCGCCAUUCUCCUCCUCUCCUUCCUCCAAGUCCUAAACGUCCCCUCGAGAAUGACCUCCGGGAUGGAGGGCACGGCGAGGAAACCCUCGGAGAGGAGUUGGGGGACUGAAUAGGCCAAGGACCAGUACUGAGAAAAUGGCUGGGUGGCUAAGCUCUCAGGCAAAAGAAAGGUCCUAUCGGA
rnacentral:lncRNA from 1 species